rnacentral:rRNA from 1 species
UGGGGAAUAUUGCACAAUGGGGGAAACCCUGAUGCAGCGACGCCGCGUGAGCGAAGAAGGCUUUCGAGUCGUAAAGCUCUGUCCUAUGGGAAGAUAAUGACGGAAUCAUAGGAGGAAGCCCUGGCUAAAUACGUGCCAGCAGCCGCGGUAAUACGUAUGGGGCGAGCGUUGUCCGGAAUUAUUGGGCGUAAAGGGUACGUAGGCGGUUUUUUAAGUCAGGUGUCAAAGCGUGGAGCUUAACUCCAUUAAGCACUUGAAACUGAAAGACUUGAGUGAAGGAGAGGAAAGUGGAAUUCCUAGUGUAGCGGUGAAAUGCGUAGAUAUUAGGAGGAAUACCGGUGGCGAAGGCGACUUUCUGGACUUUUACUGACGCUCAGGUACGAAAGCGUGGGGAGCAAACAGG